GACGAACGCUGGCGGCGUGCUUAACACAUGCAAGUCGAACGCUGAAGCCUGGCUUUUGUUGGGUGGAUGAGUGGCGAACGGGUGAGUAACACGUGAGUAACCUGCCCCCUUCUUUGGGAUAACGCCCGGAAACGGGUGCUAAUACUGGAUAUUCACUGGCCUUCGCAUGGGGGUUGGUGGAAAGGGUUUUUCUGGUGGGGGAUGGGCUCGCGGCCUAUCAGCUUGUUGGUGGGGUGAUGGCCUACCAAGGCUUUGACGGGUAGCCGGCCUGAGAGGGUGGCCGGUCACAUUGGGACUGAGAUACGGCCCAGACUCCUACGGGAGGCAGCAGUGGGGAAUAUUGCACAAUGGGCGCAAGCCUGAUGCAGCGACGCCGCGUGAGGGAUGGAGGCCUUCGGGUUGUGAACCUCUUUCGCUCAUGGUCAAGCCGCAACAAUGGUUGUGGUGAGGGUAGUGGGUAAAGAAGCGCCGGCUAACUACGUGCCAGCAGCCGCGGUAAUACGUAGGGCGCGAGCGUUGUCCGGAAUUAUUGGGCGUAAAGGGCUUGUAGGCGGUUGGUCGCGUCUGCCGUGAAAUCCUCUGGCUUAACUGGGGGCGUGCGGUGGGUACGGGCUGACUUGAGUGCGGUAGGGGAGACUGGAACUCCUGGUGUAGCGGUGGAAUGCGCAGAUAUCAGGAAGAACACCGGUGGCGAAGGCGGGUCUCUGGGCCGUUACUGACGCUGAGGAGCGAAAGCGUGGGGAGCGAACAGG
rnacentral:rRNA from 1 species